rnacentral:tRNA from 1 species
GUGGUGGCUCAGAGGCAGAGUGCUUGCCUAGCAUGUGUGAGGCAUUGGGUUCAAUUCUCAGCACCACA